rnacentral:misc_RNA from 1 species
UACGAGUGGCCCGAGCGUUAAUUGGAAUCACUGGGCUUAAAGGGUUCGCAGGCGGACUUGUAGGCAUCUUGUGAAAGCCCCCGGCUCAACCGGGGAACAGCAGGGUGAACCACAAGUCUUGAGGCAGGUAGGGGUCGAUGGAACCAUGGGUGGAGCGGUGAAAUGCGUAGAUAUCCAUGGGAACGCCAAUGGCGAAGGCAGUCGACUGGGCCUGUCCUGACGCUCAGGAACGAAAGCGCGGGUAGCGAACAGG